rnacentral:rRNA from 1 species
UACGGAGGAUCCAAGCGUUAUCCGGAAUCAUUGGGUUUAAAGGGUCCGUAGGCGGCCCUGUAAGUCAGUGGUGAAAUCUCACGGCUCAACCGUGAAAUUGCCAUUGAUACUGCAGGGCUUGAAUUACCAGGAAGUAACUAGAAUAUGUAGUGUAGCGGUGAAAUGCUUAGAGAUUACAUGGAAUACCGAUUGCGAAGGCAGGUUACUACUGGUGGAUUGACGCUGAUGGACGAAAGCGUGGGUAGCGAACAGG